AAUCUAAAGAUAGUUAAAAAACUCUCACUGGCUUCCAUAACAACACGAGGUUCUAAAGAAAAUGCAAUUAUUGGCAUGCAAUGACAAUAAACCUCCGCUGCCAGUUACAGCAGGGACAAACCCCAGGUUCCACCUGGGUGGACCAUUUAAGUGCAGAAUAAGAAUGUGCUAGACAUAGAUAUGACUUAAAAAGGUCAAAAACAGUAAACCAACAAAAAUAUCCUCAACAAAUGAAGUUCCUACUUUUCUUUCUUCUUCUUUUUACUGUCACUAGUUUCCAUAGCAUUUUACCUGUCUGCAUCUGACAUUGAUAUGAGCAAUCCAGAAGCAACUCUGGAAUACCCAACAUGCAAGCACAUACAUAUUAUAUAUUAUAGGACAUAUUUCCAAAAUAGUGUUUUAUAUUUUUGCAAUAUUUAAGAUGUAGUUGCACAAGCAAACAUCCACGAAAAGUUUACAUAAGAUGAGUAAUAGUUGAAAACAAGAGAAAUAUGAUGUCCUGCAAGAAUGCAGUAAAGUGGCUGGCUGGCAAGGCUAAAUUUUUAGAAAAUGGAUUGUCCUCAGUUCAUGGCAUUCUUAUGGCAGGUGAUUCGAACAGUUAUAAAAUAGAACUCGAAAGCACAGAAGGCACACAUCAUUAUAAGCAGCCAUUACCUUCUUACCAGGAAAAAUUGAUUGUGCUUUUGAUCUAGAACGUGUCAAAACACGAACAUGAUGAUUAUCUGCACCAUAAAG